rnacentral:rRNA from 1 species
GACGAACGCUGGCGGCGUGCUUAACACAUGCAAGUCGAACGGAAAGGCCCUGCUUUUGUGGGGUGCUCGAGUGGCGAACGGGUGAGUAACACGUGAGUAACCUGCCCUUGACUUUGGGAUAACUUCAGGAAACUGGGGCUAAUACCGGAUAGGAGCUCCUGCUGCAUGGUGGGGGUUGGAAAGUUUCGGCGGUUGGGGAUGGACUCGCGGCUUAUCAGCUUGUUGGUGGGGGAGUGGCUUACCAAGGCUUUGACGGGUAGCCGGCCUGAGAGGGUGACCGGGCACCAUAGGACUAAGGGACGGACCAGUGGCCAACGGGAGGCAGUAGUGGGGAAUAUUGCCCAAUGGGCGGAAGCCUGAUGCAGCAACGCCGCGUGCGGGAUGACGGCCUUCGGGUUGUAAACCGCUUUCGCCUGUGACGAAGCGUGAGUGACGGUAAUGGGUAAAGAAGCACCGGCUAACUACGUG